rnacentral:misc_RNA from 1 species
AAAGUCGUAACAAGGUUUCCGUAGGUGAACCUGCGGAAGGAUCAUUAAUGAAACUUCAAAGUCGGCUCGUCUGUCUGUGCUGGUGGAGACACAUGUGCACGUCGGCGAGUCGCAAAUCCACACACACCUGUGCAUCUAUGACUCUGAAUACCGCUUUGCAUGGCCCUCAAGGGCCUGGUACUCGAGUACUUUACACACUCUGAAUGUAAUGGAAUGUCUUUUUGUACAAUGUACAACUAAAAACAACUUUCAACAACGGAUCUCUUGGCUCUC